CAUUAAGAAGCUAGUAGCGCUAACCUUUUAAGUUAGAGACUGAGAGCUAAACUCUCCUUAAUGA
rnacentral:tRNA from 1 species